UACGUAGGGUGCGAGCGUUGUCCGGAAUUACUGGGCGUAAAGAGCUCGUAGGCGGUUUGUCACGUCGUCUGUGAAAUCCUAGGGCUUAACCCUGGACGUGCAGGCGAUACGGGCUGACUUGAGUACUACAGGGGAGACUGGAAUUUCUGGUGUAGCGGUGGAAUGCACAGAUAUCAGGAAGAACACCGAUGGCGAAGGCA
rnacentral:rRNA from 1 species